rnacentral:rRNA from 1 species
GAUGAACGCUGGCGGCGUGCCUAAUACAUGCAAGUCGAGCGAACAGACGAGGAGCUUGCUCCUCUGACGUUAGCGGCGGACGGGUGAGUAACACGUGGAUAACCUACCUAUAAGACUGGGAUAACUUCGGGAAACCGGAGCUAAUACCGGAUAAUAUAUUGAACCGCAUGGUUCAAUAGUGAAAGACGGUUUUGCUGUCACUUAUAGAUGGAUCCGCGCCGCAUUAGCUAGUUGGUAAGGUAACGGCUUACCAAGGCAACGAUGCGUAGCCGACCUGAGAGGGUGAUCGGCCACCCUGGAACUGAGACACGGUCCAGACUCCUACGGGAGGCAGCAGUAGGGAAUCUUCCGCAAUGGGCGAAAGCCUGACGGAGCAACGCCGCGUGAGUAAUGAAGGUCUUCGGAUCGUAAAACUCUGUUAUUAGGGAAGAACAAAUGUGUAAGUAACUAUGCACGUCUUGACGGUACCUAAUCAGAAAGCCACGGCUAACUACGUG